GGCUGGUUAGCUCUACCAGUUGAGCGUGGCGCUAACAACGUCAAGGUUGCGGGUUUAAUUCCUGUUCUGUCCC
rfam:Apaloderma vittatum contig61386, whole genome shotgun sequence.